AUCAAAGAUUAUGUGCUGUGUUAUUGUCAAGUUAUGGAGUGGUGGUGGAAGUUGAAUGUGGGGUAGUUUGUUUUUGUUAAUUAUUGUAUCUUCAGAUGUCUUGUAAAUAACGGGCUGUCGGAAGCCUAUAUUCAAGCAUUAUGGUUGAACCGGAACCAUUUUUUUCAGCAAAUUCUUAAAACCAAAUGUGUGUUCAGAUGAUAUAUUUUAAGGUAUACAAAAAAUUCUGUCUAGUUCAGGUGUUCCAGCACAUAGAAAGAACAUACGCAUGUUAGACGACUGAGUCCGUAUAAUACUCUGCCGAUAACAUAUUUCCGAAGUGCUGAACAUACCAUUACAGACCUGGGAUUUAGGCUUUCAUAGGAAUAAUGGAAUUCACAUCUGAAAGCGUUGAGAAAGCUGUGACAGUAUUUUACACAUCUCGCACUUCAGACCAAGCAGAGGCACAUCGUUGGUUAACUGAAGCUCAGGCAUCUACUACAGCAUGGAAAUUUGUGUGGGAGCUGUUGGAUCCGUCAAAGCUAACGGAAGUGCAGUUUUUUGGUGCUAUUACAUUGCAUUCGAAGAUAGUGAAGUGGUGGCAUGAAAUUCCUAUUGAUCAGUAUACUCCUCUGAGGAACCAGAUUUUAGGUUCCAUUGCCUCUCAUUGCAGUGGUCCAAAAAUAGUUCUCAGUAAGCUGUGUGCAGCUCUCUCUGCUUACAUUAUUAAUGUUACGCCUGAGCAUUGGCCCAAUCCCAUCAAUGAACUUAUACAGACAUUUCUGACUCCUUCCACAACUGUCCCAGCCGAACGAACAGCUUGGAUUCUGAUGGAAAUUCUUACCAUGCUACCAGAUGAACUGAAUAAUUCUCGUAUUGGUGCCCAACAGAAAGGAGCUGUACUGGCAUGUCUUCGCGAUAGUGUUCAUAGAGUGGUGGAAGUGGUAAGACACUGUCUUUCUGAUGCUAGUUUUGAAAAUGCAAAUGAAGUAAAAGAGCAUGCUGCAUCAUGUGCAGUAUCUUGGCUGAGAAUAGGAAUGCCAAUUGCCGCAUGUGAAGGCUUGGCUUUGGAUUUAUUAAACAUGGUGUUACAAAAUGCAACCAGCGAUGAUUAUACCGAAAGUUCACAGAGUCUCAUAGAAGCUGCCCUAAACUGCCUCGAGUCCUUGGUUACGCACCCUGAUACACAUCUAAACCCAAAACAUGUCCAGCGCCUCAUGGAAGAGAUUUUGAAGUUAGAAGUUUUGUUGGGUCCUAAAUGGCAUUCUGCUGAUGAAGUUGUAACAAGUAAAAUAUACAGGCUGUUUGUAGGAAUGGGGGAAUGCCACUCUAAAUUGAUUCUACGCCUAUUAUUACAACCAGGCAGCUCUAAAGUGUUGGGCAGCAAAAUCGUCGAAAAUAUUCUGCGUGCUACCAGUAUUCAAGGUGUCUAUCCAGUAGAAGAAUGUAUAAGUGUACAUUCAUUAGGGUUUUGGUACAUUUUACAGGAAGAUGUGCAGCCCAUGGAGGGAGAUGAGAGGACUGAUUGUAUAACUGUGCUUUCACCAAUAUACUGCACAUUGGUUGAAGUAUUGCUGAAAAAAUCUGCUCUUCCACCUGAUAUAGACGAAUGGAACAGUGACGACCGAGAGAAACUGAGAUGGUAUAGGCAAGAUGUUGCCGACACUCUAAUGUAUUGCUAUCAGAUACUACAUGAUCAAAUCCUGGAGUUACUCCUUCAUGACCUUUCUGCAAGAGCUACAGAAUUUGAAGAGUCGUGGCAGCCUGUUGAAGCAAAUUUGCAUGCUUGGAUGGCUAUUGCAGAAUUGGUGCCAAAUGUGAAACCACAGAUUGGGUCAUUUUUUAUGAUUCUACAAAACAUACCGAUUAGCAAGAGUAAUAUAAAAGUUUUUAAUGCAGCAAUUGACUGUAUGGGUGCAUAUGCAGACUGGAUUAACAUCAAUCCAUCUUUCUUGUCAUAUGUCAUUCCCACUGUCAUGUCGGGCUUGGAGAACACUGAAUCAGCACCUUCUUCCUCAAUGGCUUUGAAAGAUUUGUCAAGGGACUGCCAGUUAACAAUUCAGCAGUAUGCAGAUAAUAUCAUCAGAUGCAUUCAGGCAGCCAUUAUCAGUGGAAGUCUAGGACAUGCUGAAAAUAUUAGACUUAUGUAUGCCUUGGGUCGUUUGCUGUCACCAAUGCCACUGGAGAAGAUAAUGAUGUAUUUGAAUGAAAUACUUGUUCCUUGUGUUAGAGAAUUGGAGAUCCUGGCAAAUUCUGAGGAUAAAGGAAUGCAGACCUAUAGUGACAUCUUGCUGAGACUUAAGAUGAUGAGCACAAUUUUUGCAACUCUAGACACCAGUGCUGUGAGAGGAGGAGCUCUAAAGUCUGAUGAUCCUCAGCCUGUUCUUCUCAUUUUGGAGAAAGUUUUUCCAGUUUUGGAAACUAUAACAUGUAAAUGGUGUACUGAUGAAGAAAUUAUGAAGGCAAUGUGUACGCUGCUAAAACAAGCUGUGUCAACACUGCUCGAGAAAUUUGAAAUAGUUUUACCACCUGUUGUGAACAUGCUUAUGAAAAGCUUUCGUGUUCGACCUCAACCAUCGGUUCUUGAACUGUUGCAGCAGAUUGUGAUCCUGUUUGGCAGAGAUACAGAACAUACACAGAUGAUUCAUUCACUUGUCACAGACAUUUGCAGGAUAUCAAUGACUUUCUGCUUUUCUUCUCCAUCCACAUCAGAACAUUGUGAUGUGAUAGAAUCAUUUUUUAACCUUCUGUCACAACUUAUAAAGAAAAUUCCUAAGCUGUUCCUUAUGAUGGAUGUCGAGGAAGUGAAGGGGUUCUUCAGGAGUGGUAUUGAAAGCUUGCAGCUACCUGAGACUCCUGUGCUGAAAUCUAGUGCAACAUUCCUUAAAUGUUUUAUUAAACAAAGUUGGGAGUAUGUACACUUCUCUACCAUUGUCAAUGACUGUGGCGAAGCACUAGUACAGAGAAUUCUUUUGUGCAUAGGAGGAAACUGCCCAAGAACCAUGAUAGAUCAUCUGGCUGAUCUGUUAAUGAUGCUCAACAGAAAACAAACGGAAAUGUUUGCUCGAUGGCUUACUGACAAUGUGUCAGCAAUUGAGUUCCCAGGGCAUGGUGUGAGUCAGAAUGCAAGAGCACAGUUUGUACAGAUGGUUUUGAGGUACAUUCAGUGGUGUACAGGAUACCUUCUGCAAACUGUGCUGGGAAUAGAGUUGGUAGUAAAGAAGUAAUAAAUUCAACUGUCUUGCCUGAUGUUGAAGUUGUACUGUAUGAAGAGCAGAAAUGUAGAAAGUGAUAAAGUUUUUUCCUUUCAUCAUUUUGUGGGUAAUGUCAGUGAGAAAAAGUUUUGUAAAUGUUUGAAGUUAUGUUUAAUUUUUGUUGGAAGUCACUAAGUACUCUCAUUGUCAAAUACUGGAUGAAUAAAAUCCUUUUAUUUUCACACCAUUAGUUAUGCUACCUCAAUACAAACACACAGUUUCCAACUGUAAUAUUUGUCUUAUCGUGAUAAAUGUUUAAUAUGCCUCUCAAUGAGUAGAUUAUGACAGCAUUUUAAAUUUGGCCAAUAAUUACACAAAAUAUUGAAAAUCAGAUUUAUGUUGCCCCUGGAAAUUAUUAGAUAGGCAUCCUGCAACUGGUACAGGAUUAUAUGCUAGUUGCGAGGUAUUACAGAUUGUUGUACUAUUUUAUGAAUGUUGAUACACUAAUACAGUGUUGUUACAUGCUACUGCCACAGUGUUAACAAAAUGUAAACUCAUAUUUUUCCAGUUCAGUCAUUAAUCUUUUCAGAAUUACAGUAGAAGCAGCUUAUUUUCAUGUUGCUGUGGAGAGGAGGAGGAUGGGAGUGGGAGUUUUGAUAUAAGGAAGUAUGUCCUCUAAUCAUGCAACACAUUUCAAAAGGAAAUAUAUUACUGUGAUCAAACUAUUGAUUUUGUUUGCUGUACUUACCAGUAUGCCUUGAAAUGUGGUGUGUACAUAACAAAAGCUGUAUGAAUAACACAGUUUCCAGCUGUCCUCCCAACCUAUUCCAUUUAACUGCACUAUGGCACUGUAAUUAAUAUAAAUUUAACAGUAGGUAUUACAUUUUACGCAGUAGCAGUACAACCAACUGUGGUCAUAAUUUUGUGUGUUCCUUCUGAAAUCAGUUGUCCUUCGGCAAAAUGCAGUAUUGUAGUAAGUUACAAUUUAGAAAAAAAUGAAAAGCACCAAUCGAAGUUAGCAUAUUUCCAAAAUAUUUUAAGGAUCUUAUAGCAUAUAUGUUCUGCAAUAAAUUUUUUAAUGUGAAUGUAUUUUUACUGUUUCUGUACAGGGAAAGAGCCAACAAGCGGAAGCUACAAGAAAUUGUGAGAGGAUUCACAUUGAUUUGCCGUGGCCUUGCUGGUACAGAGUUUGGAGGACAGUUAAUCAUUUUAUAAUGAACCAUUUCAUUGCUACAGUUUCUCAUGAUGUAAGAAAGAUGCAGCUUCAAGAGAUCUAUUUUGGAUAUACUGCAUUUUUAAAGAAAGAAGAAUGAAUUAUGUUUCUCAUUUCCUAAAGGUGCUUAUGUUGAGGACUGUUGUGACUAUUAAUGUAGAAAAAUAGGGUUGUUGUAAAAACAGAGAUAUUUGUGUGCUGGAUUCAAAUAAUAUUUGGUAUGUGCGUGUGUUUUAUAAUAAAAGUAGUGACAUUUUCUAUUGAUGUACACAGAAAAUAGUGAAAAAAGCGAUAUUAAAAAAAAAAGAAAACCCUAAGACAUUUACAACUAAAGACAGUUAUGAAUUUAUUGAUCUUUCUGUUGUUUUCCCUAUUUAGUGUAUAUUGUGUUGUGUUGCAAAUUUGUAGCAGUAGUAAUUUGACCAUUCCUUUAAUUAAAAUUAUUGUUUUUCUUAACAUUUUCAAACCAGUGGAUUCUGUUCAUUGGUGUGUUCGUAUACUGUUAAUUUGAAUUUGAUUAUCUUUGUAUGUUAGAUCUCCCUUGCUAGUUUUUAUGACUUCGAAUUAUGUCAGAAUUGUAGGAGUGAAUCACUUUUUCAUAAGCAUGUACCUGAUUAGCCAGUAGAGUAUUGCUUGCUUUUGUUCAUGUGAUUUAAAAUUGUUUUCUUUUACAAGUUACUGGGGAUUUUACAUAGUAACUGAAAACAUCCAAUUGCUCAUUCUUUGUCUCCUGCUCACUAAUUCUCAUUGAUUUCAGAAGAACUUUUACUUGUACUGAUAAAAUAAUAAUUGAAUUAUUUUUGUGCAUUUUAUAACCACUGCUUUUGUCGAAGUUACGGACUGUAGCAAAAGUAUUACUAGAAGAAGGAGAGUCCUGCGUUGUUUGUUAUUGAUAGCUAGGAUUAUCGUCCACUUCCAGAACAAUUAACUGUCUUACCCUUUAAUCCUGAAAAGUGGUGCUUACAAGGUAUUGCCAGUUGGCCAAUUGGGUCAGUAUAAAAAAGUGUUCAUAUAGGGUGACAAUUAUUUAACUGUAUGAAAAAAAACGUAAAUUAGUUAUAAACUACAGUACAGAUAUUCUGAUUUAGGUUAUGACAUGUUCGAUAUGCCUGUCAUCAUUGGCGAUGAUGUGCAGACAAAUGCGAAAUUGUGCAUGACCCGCUGAGGUGUCAGAACAUUGAUGCUGUCGAUGACCUCCUGAAUGGCUAUAUCAGCUGAGCAAUGAUUUUCGGGUUAUUGCUGUACACCUUGUCUUAAUAUAGCCCCACUAAAAGAAGUCUCAUGUGUUCAGAUCCGGAGAAUAUGGCAGCCAAUCGAGCCGUGCCAGUGGCCCCCAGGUACCCCAGAGCCGGAAUGUGGUUCCCAAAGUGCUCUGCCAGGACAUCAAACACUCUACUCCUUUGGUGGGGUCGAGCUCAAUCGUGCAAGAACCUCAUCUUGUCGAAGUCAGGGUCACUUUGGAUAAUUGGGAUGAAAUCAUCUUCCAAAACCUUCACGUACCAUUUAGUAGUCACCGUGCUAUCAAGGAAUAUCACACCAAUUAUUCCAUGACUGGACAUUACUCACCACAAAGUCAGACAUUGAAGGUGAAGAGACUUCUCGAUCACGAAAUGCGGAUUCUCAGUUCCCCAAAUGUGCCAAUUUUGGUUAUUGAUGAACCCAUCCAAAUGAAAGUGUCCAUCGUCACUGAACCAAACCAUACAGUGCGUACUAAUUCCCAUCAUUUGUUGGUAAAUCAGUAUGGCCAACCGUGCAGUUUGAACAUCCUAACAAACUAUUGAGAAGUUAUGACAAGUUUGUUUCAUAUAGUUCAAUAAUUAUCACCCUUUUCUUGCAUGACCAUUUGCCUGAUGGCCAGACAUUCCAAAUGUUGGCAGGUGUUUACAGUCCACUGUGAUUCUUCUGAGCUCUGUCAAUAUCGGUAUGUUUUAAAAGCUAACCCUUCUUUCUUGCACAUUUGUGUAACUGUUUCUGACCUUUUUGCAGGAGAAAGAAUAUUGUGUGUAGCAAGAGAAUGUGCAUCAUUUUACAGACUACAGUAAAUCUCCAUUAAAAUAUUUGCUCUCUUCCUUUCUUACUAUGUUUAUGUGAUGUAUAUUUGUGGUCGUAGAUUUAGUUCUGUAUUUUAAGUCAAGCAGUUCCUCUGAAAUUUAUGUUUCAUUUUUCACUAAACGCAAAUCCUAUUCUGUUAACUGUGUUGUAUUUUGUUGUGGAUGUGGAUGUUUUUAUGAGGUGCAUUGUAUGUUUUGUAUAUCUUGCCUUUCCUGAGACUGAAUUUAUGUGUAACACAAUAAUAAAGUGUGAGAAUAAUGCCUUUCUCCCAGCAUCAGGGCUUGGGUUGAAAAUUGGCAUAAAAUCUGAAAUCAUUAUGUUUAAAUUGUUUUAUCAGUCAAAUCUUCUAGUAUCAAACAAUUGAAAAUCCAGGAUGGAAUGUAACAGUAUUAUGAAAAGGAAAGUUGCUACUUACUAUAUAGCGAAGAUACUGAAUCGCAGAACGGUACAACAAAAAGACUGUCACAACUAAGCUUUUGGCCGACAGUGCUUCUGCCGAUAAUAGAUGACAGACAUACAUCACUCACGCAAAUGUAACACACACACACAUGACUGCGGUCUCUGGCAGCUGAAGCCACACUGCGAGCAGCAGCAGCAGUGCAUGAUGUGAGUGGCAACUGGAUGGGGGUAAGGAGGAGACUGGGGUGGGGAGAGGGAGGGAUAGUAGGGUAUGGGUUGGGGACAGUGAAGUGCAGCUGGGGAGCGUGCAGGGACGAGGUGGAGAGAGGGUAGGGCAGCCAGGUGUAGUCGGGUUAGACAGUGGACCAUGGAGAGUCCGGGGGGGGGGGGGGGGGGGGGUAGCGGAAAAGGAGAGAAGUAAAAAGACUGGGUGCAUUGGUGGAAUGAGGGCUGUGUAGUGCUGGAAUGGGUACAGGGAAGUUACUGGAUGGGUGGGGACAGUCACUAAUGAAGGAUGAAGCCAGGAGGAUUACGGGAACGUACGAUAUAUUGCAAGGAGAGUUCCCACCUACACAAUUCAGAAAAGUUAGUGUUGGUGGGAAGGAUCCAUAUGGCACAGGCUGUGUAAAGCAGUCACUGAAAUGAACGAUGUUAUGUUGGGCAGUGUGCUCAGUAACAGGGUAGUCCACUUGUUUCUUGACCACAGUUUGUUGCUUUCCAUUUAUGUGGACAGACAGCUUGUUGGUUGUCAUGCUCACAUAGAAUGCAGCACAGUGGUAGCAGCUUAGCUUGCAGAUCUCAUGACUGGUUUCACAGGUAGCCCUAUACUUGAUGGUAUAGGUGAUGUUUGUGACCGGACUGGAGUAGGUGGUGGUGGGAGAAUGUCUUGAAUCUAUGUCUAUUACAAGGAUAUGAACCAUGAGGUACGGGGUUGGGAGCUGGGGGUGUGUAGGGAUGGACGAGUAUAUUGUGUAGGUUUGGUGAAUGGCGGAAUACCACUGUGGGAGAGGUGGGAAGGAUAGUGGGCAGGACAUUUCUCAUUUCAGGCCGUGACGAAAGGUAGUCGAAACUCACUGCUGCAUUCUAUGUGGGCAUGACAACCAACAAGCUGUCUGUCCGCAUGAAUGGCCACCGUGCCACCAAUGCACCCAGUCUUUUUACUUCUCUCCUUUUCUGCUACCCUCCCCCUCAGCCUCUCCCCUGCCCUCCGUCCAACCUGACUGCACUGUCCCUGCAUGCUACCCAGCAGUGCUUCAUGGUCCCCCCACCCCUAUCCUACUAUCCCUCCCCCUCCACACACCAUCCUUACCCCUACCCAUUUACCACUCCUGUCAUGCACUGCUGCUGCUGCUCACAGUGUGGCUUCAGUUGUGUAUGUGUGUCGUGUCUGCAUGAGUGGUAUAUGUGUCUGUCGUCUAUUUUCGACAAAGGCAUCGUUGGUCGAAAGCUUAGUUGUGACAGUCUUUUUGUGUGCUUAUCUGCAACUCAGCAUUUCCACUAUAUACUGAGUAGCAACUUUCCUUUUCAUGAAAUCUUCUGAUAUACUGGGCACAUAUGCAGGUAUCUAUUACAUCAUUUCAUUAUCAUGGUUUUUAAAAUUAUUAGUGAAUGACAGUUGCAGAGACUAUGUGCAUACAUUUAUUUGAAUGCUGAGAAAUCUGUAGAAAAGUACUCCAUUUGGAUCGUGUAGUGCAGUUGUACAUUUUUUUUAUUGUUGUUUUCUGAAAAGAAUUGCAAAUUUCAGUGACAGGAAAUGAGCAUGCUGAAUCUUGUGUGUAAAUGAGUUUAAAAAAGAGUCUUGCUGUAGCUGGAAACUCAUUGGUGAAGCACUUAUGAAUACCAGCAACAAAAUAUCGUUCAAAUUUGCCACUUGUUCAUAGAAUAAUUCCUAUACUAAGACAUGAAAAAUAUAGAACUCUGAAUGGUAUACUUGUAAUACCACAGCAUUUGCAGUUCCUUGUUUUUCAUGUUCACAAUUAUUUGUACUUCAUUUCUCCAUCUGUGACUCCUGAACAAAGACGUAGUAAUGCUUUGCUUGCUGUAACUGUUGUGUGUUGUGUGUUAAUUAACAGUAGACAGUUUAUAUUCAUAUCUGUCACACUCGUUGCCUUCUUUCCAUAGAGGAGGAGGAAAAUGAAAGCAGGGAGUGAGGAAGGAAGGAAGUGGAAUGUGUGCUAUCUGGUUUCAUAACGUUUCCUAUUGUCAUGAAAAUAAAAAUGUAUGGAAAAUUAGUUAAAAUUAAUAGCUCAAUGUAAUUCCACUGAUAACCUAACGUUUAUUCUGUCUUUGAGUGGCCGUACUUGGAUGUACAUACUUAACUAUUUCUAUUUUGAUCAACAUUUGCAAGAAAAUCUGUAGUACUGAUGUUUUUACAGUGUCAGGCAGUAAAUUACUGAUAUUGACAGUUUUUGUACUUUUUGUAACUAUAAAAUGUUCUUAACCUAAAAUAGUGGAUAUUAUUAAGUCGUGUAUUUAUUUUGAUAUGUCUUUUUUGAUGUGUCUAUAAUACAAUUUGUUAAUGUAUGACAGACGUUAAUGAAAGUUUUAAAAUUAUUCACAGUAUGUUAACAUAUGCUUUUGUAAGUGGCAGUCAGUGUCAAGUAUCUGAAUACCUUCAUACAAAAUAUAUUCCUGGGACAAAUAGCGGUUAUUAACCAAGUGUGAUAAGCUUUCGUGUCUAAAGAGUUGACCAUUACAUCAUAAAAUGAUCUUUGUGUUUAGUACAAUCUUGGGACUAGUUUAAAUGGUGCAUAUACAAGCUAACUCAAUGCCAACUCAUGCAUGUAUUAAAAAAUGUGCUGCAUGAAGUACCUGUUAAAUUCCAGUGAAAUAAAAAUAGUUUGUAGACGUGUGAAGUAACUGCUUAAAAGCAUGUUAACAAGGAUAAAGGUGUAGUUCCAUGUAUUCUCAGUGUCAUCUUCCUUCCCCAGUGGUAUGAAACUUUAAUG